rnacentral:rRNA from 1 species
CCUACGGGAGGCAGCAGUGGGGAAUAUUGCACAAUGGGGGAAACCCUGAUGCAGCGACGCCGCGUGAGUGAAGAAGUAAUUCGUUAUGUAAAGCUCUAUCAGCAGGGAAGAAAAUGACGGUACCUGAGUCAGAAGCCCCUGCUAACCACGUGCCAGCAGCCGCGGGCAUACGUAGGGGGCACCCGUUAUCCGGAUUUACGGGGUGUAGAGGGAGCGUAGACGGCAGGGCAAGUCUGGCGUGAAAGGCGGGGGCUCAACCCCCGGACUGCUCUGGAAACUUGACGGCUGGAGUGCAGGAGAGGUAAGUGGAAUUCCUAGUGUAGCGGUGAAAUGCGUAGAUAUUAGGAGGAACACCAGUGGCGAAGGCGGCUUACUGGACUGUAACUGACGUUGAGGCUCGAAAGCGUGGGGAGCAAACAGGAUUAGAUACCCGUGUAGUC